rnacentral:lncRNA from 1 species
CUAAUUAACAGAACACAUAACAGAGGCGGCACACAUUCCAAUCCCAUCGGUUGGAAACGAAACAGAGAAUGCAAAACUAACUUCCCAAAACAUAUCCAAGUAGUGCUACUAUACUCCAUUACGUCUGCAGUGUUCAUGGUCGUACUGAACUGAACAUUGACCAAGCCAGUUUACACAUAUGCAUGCGUCUAACAUCUCUGAAGAAACUCAUCGGAAAGACAAAACAGCAUACGGUCAUCGAACGAAUCUUGGGUAGCUAGUCUCGAUCGGACUCAAUCCAAGGAAAUUAACCUGCAGGGGACGAACAAGACGAAAGAAGAAGAGCAGCGUCCUCGUGUCGACGGAACGCAUUGCGGGUGGAGUCGAUCAUGCAGGCGGUGAGCUAACAAGGACGUAGAAGGUGAACACGUUCUCCUCCACCUGCACCAAGGUGUCUCGCAUCUCGUGCAGCGCCACCAGCGCGUUGUCGAUCGGGCCGAUGGUCAGCGGCAGCAUCAGCUCNAAAUUCGGCUUCCUUGAGCUCGAAGUCGCUGAAUUUACUGCCGACCUCUCUCACUGACAGGGAGCGCCCACCUUCUCACUGUGUCUUUUUACCUCACACCGCGCUGCUGCCACCCCACAGGAAUACUUUCGGUGGACGGCCGGGGUAAAAAAUCAGUUACGGAGUGGGGGCCACAGCUCUCGUCGGAACUCUCUUGCAGAGCGAGAAGGCGGGACAUUACACGGGUGGAAUCUCUUGCGGCACGAGAAGGCGAGAUAUUACACGGGUGUGAUUCGUCCUCCCUGACCCGUGGGCCGGUGGCAAGUGGGACCCAUCUGCCAUGCUCACAGUUGCGCCUGCACGAGCAGUGUGGAACGGAAAAUCAAUUACGCUGAUCUUUAUUUGCAUACGUCAUCCCCACUUGCCCCAUCCUUUACGGCGGAGCCAACGCCAGGCAACCCUUGGCACUUGCCCAGGCUCGCUGGACACUAGCAGCAGCAAUACGUAUAUUAAAUAAAGGCCUAAACUGAUCUGUAACUUACUCUACCCGGGCAAAGAAAACUGGGUGUUAGUUUUUCUCACGUAAACUGGCUAAUCAGCCCAACAAUUAACAAGCCAGACAAUUACGUGAGUGUCUAGCGACAGAAUCAUACGAUGGAUCACGCAACUGCUGGCGGCUGAACUCUAGACGGCUGGACGCACUCCCGGCGCUCAGUGCCGGUCGCCGGCGGCAAGCGACGCAAGGCUCCGAGCCCCCGACGCACCUCAUCCCCUCAUUCCUCUCAUUCGGCUUCAGCUUCCUAGUUCCUUCGGUAAGAAAUCUCCAUGAAAAUUAGGGCCAACCAGUACUGGGGCCAACUGACCAACGAUCUCUCAUGUCUCAUCUAGAGUCUGAAUAGUUGGGAAGUAGAAAAUACUGAUCGAGAUAAGUAUACAUAUGCGGUAGCGGUCAGCAGUCUGAAUAGUUAUACAUAUGCAAAUGAUAUUGCUGUUGCUAGUAGUUGCUCAUCUAUUCAUGAUUUCUUUGAGUACAUCUCCUUAAUUGUGACCACAACAACUACAUCUUGCAAGAGAAGGGAUGUAGGGCCGGUCCUGAGAUUUCGGGGGCCCAGGGCGAAACUAAAAUUUAGGGCCCCUUAGUAUAAAUAAAUAGUAUAGAUUAGCGAAAUAAAUAGCAAAAAAAAUGAGACAUAAUUUUUUUACGUGGAAAAACAUUUUUGAUCACGUACCUCUCCGUUGCUCAUUGUUCUAGAGUAAUGGGCAUAUGAAAAAUAUCUUCUCUUGCCAUUUAAAGGAAAAGUAAUAUCAUCUUCUCUAAUAGGCCCCUUCUCAACUAUUGUAUCCCUUGCUUUGUUAUCAAGACUAGCCCAAUUUGCUAGAUCAUAAAUAUCCACAUGAACUGGUUAUUCAUCAACAGUAGCAGAUUCCGUGGGAGAUGAAUUAUGAUCAUGAUCACUCACAUUGUUAUCGUCCGCGUCGAUGUCAACAUUGUCUUCUAUAUGGAUAUCAUCUUCUAGAUUCACAUUACUUGGUUCUUCUACAAGAACUAACGCCAACUCAUCUUGAUUUUUUGAAGUGGACGGGUUACUCUUAAAAAACUUAGGAAGAGAUCCUCUUUGUGAAUCUACCAAUUUUUGAUCUGCUUUCCUCUUUUUUCUUUUAGCAGCACCUGAUUUAGGCUUCAUAAUAAUUCUGAAAAUAAAUAAAUACGAAACAAAAUUAGGGCAUAAACUACCUAUAAAUUAAAAACGAAUCAUUAAAAGUAAUCAAAAUUAAGGCAUAAACUACCAGUAUGACGGCGUGCCCAGCCCGGCGGAUCUUGGUCUUGGACAGUUGGACGACUCUAAAGAUGAGAUCACGAAUCAGGAGGCUAGCGUCGGUGUGCGCGGCACAGCGGCAGGCCGUCAGUACGUCACGGCGACGUGCGUGCAGGGAGACGAGAGAGCCAGAGCCAGAGAUCAAUAGUCCAUCACAGCGGCGUGUCGUUGCAGGGAUUCACGGCGGCGUGCGUGCAGGCCUGCAGGGAGACGAGAGAGCCNNNNNNNNNNNNNNNNNNNNNNNNNNNNNNNNNNNNNNNNNNNNNNNNNNNNNNNNNNNNNNNNNNNNNNNNNNNNNNNNNNNNNNNNNNNNNNNNNNNNNNNNNNNNNNNNNNNNNNNNNNNNNNNNNNNNNNNNNNNNNNNNNNNNNGGGAGACGAGAGAGCCGAUUCGUUUUGGCUUAGUGCGUGCGUGCAACAAUCAGGUAGGAAUUUCCGGCGGUCGUGCAGCGUACAGAUGCCAGAUGGAUCCUGACAAUAGCGAUUGACCAUAAAAUAUUCACGUACGUGGUUGCUAUAUUAACUGGCUCAUGUAAUAAUAAAAUACCUCUUGGCCCAUGUAACCUGACACGAAAUAGGCCCUGAUUUCCAUUUAUUUUUUCUAUAUUAAAUACUAUACUUAGUAUACAUAUAUAUACAGGGGGCCCUCAAAAUUUUUGGGCCCCGUGCAGCCGCCCCCGCAGACCACANNNNNNNNNNNNNNNNNNNNNNNNNNNNNNNNNNNNNNNNNNNNNNNNNNNNNNNNNNNNNNNNNNNNNNNNNNNNNNNNNNNNNNNNNNNNNNNNNNNNNNNNNNNNNNNNNNNNNNNNNNNNNNNNNNNNNNNNNNNNNNNNNNNNNNNNNNNNNNNNNNNNNNNNNNNNNNNNNNNNNNNNNNNNNNNNNNNAAGGGAUGCAUUGGCAGAGGCACAACACCAAGAUAUUCUGGAUAGACUUGAGAGUGGUGAGAUAUGUACAGGAAGGGGCUUGCACCAAUUAACUACCCUUGCUAGGCCAGGUGAUACUAGAUGGGGUUCCCAUCAUACUACCUUGCUUCGUUUGACUCAAAUGUGGUCCUCCGUGUUACAGGUGCUUAGUACGGUUGAUGAACAUGGACGUGGGCCAUCUCAAGCAGCAGGUUUGAUAGAAAAAAUGGAGAGCUUUAAAUUUUCUUUCAUUCUAAAACUUAUGUUGAAGUUGUUUGGCAUCACAAAUGAGCUCUCAAAAGUCUUGCAAAGAAAAGAUCUUAAUAUUGUGCUUGCCAUGGAAUUAGUGGAUGAUGUCAAAACUCGGCUGGCAACAUUAAGAGAGAGUGGUUGGGAUGAUUUAUUUUGUGAUGUUCAAGAAUUUUGUGCUGCUAAUUGUAUUCCAGUGCCAAACAUGGAUGAAGUAAUACCAGUUCGUGGUCACUCAAGGAGAGCAGGGAGGACUAUCACUAAUCUUCAUCAUUACCUUGCAGAGAUUUUUUAUGUUGCUAUUGAUAAAAUUUGCGUGGAGAUGGAUCACCGCUUCAGCGAAGGAGCUAAUGGCGUGCUUGAUUGCUUCUCAUGUCUUGACCCCAAUAAUUCUUUCUCAAAGUUUAACGUUGAUAAGCUUGUGCGUCUUGCUGAAAUUUAUCAUGAUGACUUUUCCAGUGAUGAUCGUGGAAUAAUUAGAGAGCAGCUUCUCACUUAUAUAAGUCAAGUGAAAAGGCAUGCUUCUUUUUCUAUUUGUGAUGAUGUUCAAAGUUUGGCCGUGAAGAUGGUUGAAACUGAGAAACAUUUGGUAUUUCUAUUGGUAUACAAACUUAUUGAGUUGGCUUUGAUAUUGCCGGUGUCAACGGCAUCUGUUGAGAGAGCUUUUUCAGCAAUAAAAAUUAUCAAGACUAAACUGCGUAGCAAGAUCAAUAAUGAGUGGUUCAAUGACUUGAUGAUAUGUUACACCGAGAGAGAGUUAUUCAAGUCAGUUGAUGAUAAGGAUAUUAUUCGAACAUUUACUGCAAUGAGGUCUCGAAAAGGGCACUUGCCUCGUAAUUUUCUUUAGUGCAUUAUCGGUAUGUUCAAUUUGACCAUCUCUAUUCCUUAAGCUUUUGAUUUCACAUCUCAAAACUAAAUUUAUUUAAUUACAAAUCCAUUUUUAAAUUGCACUCCCUUCUAGGCUAAUUAUAUGUCUCUUUUCAUUACAGAUGGUAUGGAUAGAUUUACUUUUGCUGACAACAUGGCGAGUUCGCCUCUAUGUAAGGUAGGCUAUGUAUCUUUUGUUGUCAUGUCUCAACUUUAUUUGGUCUAUGAAGCGGAUAAUAAUAUAUUAGGUCAGUUUAAAAUUAAAUUUUGUAUGACUAUUAGGCUUAACUUGGUGGUAUACUGCAUGUUGUGUAUUCAACUAGCCAUUUUUUUUUAGAUUAUACAUUUAGGCUUAACUUGCUCAGGCUCCAUAAAAUUUCUGGCUCCGCCACUGAGCUAACGUAUCUUGUUAUUCUUUCUGACGGGAAAUGAAGUGUCGAAUGUUUGAGAUAGCACGAAUACCUCCAAAUAGGAAGUGUAGACAUUUCAUCAAACAAAUGUGAGACGCAGCGGUGAAUAGGAAGUGAAAAAAAAAGAUAAAACACAUCAGUGACACCCCAACCAGCUUUAUGCGCCCGGUCAUGGAUCGAUCAUAAAAUUUUGAUUCAACCGGACGCCUCAAACACGCCGGCGAACCGACACCCUUCAUGUUCAACCUAAAUAUGGAGCAGAUAUAAGACGUCCAGACGCGUGCGAGCAUGUCCGUCACGUCGGAUCUGACAGCCCGACCCCAUCGUAAAUUGCACCAAAUCCAUCCGUAGAACUGUCGGAUCCAUUUACUAUUUUCUCUCUUCCUCCUCCUCCGUGUCGUCCGUCUCGCAGCUCCACCGUGCGUGCUUCGCAGUUGUUCCAAGCCUCUGCCCCGCCAUCUCCGGUAGAGCGGUCCUCUAUCCAGUCCUCGUCACGGGGGACUUCGUCGUCGGACCGGACGCCACGGCGGCAUGUCCGACAACCCUCACGCUCCGCCAUGCGCUGGAUGAGUUCUAAACAUUGUCUGACUGGAUUUUUUGUGAGUUGUUUUAGGGAAAACGAUGGAUUUUGAUGCUUCAUCCGAUGAGGAGUAUGAACCGAUGGAGCUUGAUCAUAUGAUUGAAGAUCAGUUCUUUGAUUCGUCGGAUUUGGAUGAAGUAGUGGAUAAGAUCAUGCUUAUGAGGAUGCAAGAGGAAAUUGACCAUCAAGUGGCGCAUAUUCUCAAUUUCAAGGGCUCAAGACCGCAACAUGUCUAAUGGCUAAAGUUGACGUUGCAUGACUUUGGUAUCGCCGUUUAUCCCACAUUAAUACGAGAUCUUUGCAAAGCAUACUCAUUAGGGACCAUGUUCAUGGACUAAUAAAUGUUAGUUUUGUCAAAGAUCGUGCUUGCAGUACUUGUAUCGAGGGAAAGCUACAUGAAAAGCCUCACCGCUCCAUGACUAUAAUUUACUCGAAGAGGCCCUUGGAGCUCCUUCACAUGGAUCUCUUUGGGCGUCCAUCUUUUGAUAGUCUUAGAGGAAGAAAAUAUUGCUUGAUGAUUCUGGAUGAUUACUCAAUAUAUACAUGGGUAUACUUCUUUAAGAGGAAGAAUGAGACCCAAUAAACCAUCAUCAACUUUGCAAAUGAAGCUCAAUGCCAACAUGAGGCAAAGAUAUUAAUGAUUAGAAGUGACAACGGCUUUGAGUUCAAGAAAUACACCUUGGAUGAGUUUCUUAGUGAUGAGGGGAUCAAGCACCAAUACUCCACACCAUAUACCCCUCAACAAAAUGGUGUAGCAAAAAGGAAGAACCGGGCGUUGACGGACGCGGCAAGUGUCAGUGUCAAAAUCGGCAGAUCUUGGGUAGGGGGGAUCGAGCUGUGAGAUCGGAUCCAGGAUAAUAGGAGAAAAGAACACGAGGAUUUUUACCGAGGUUCGGUCCCCCUCGAUGAAGGUAAAACCCUACGUCAUGCUCUUGUUGUAUUGAUGUUGUAGCGAUUACAGAGUUGAUCUGCGUCGAGAUCAUGAAAUUGUGGGCUAAAACCCUAGGGGUUAUGAUGUCGUUUAUAUGUGCAUGUCUAGGAUAAUGCACCAAAGGCCUAGGAUAAAACCCUAGUUGUAUCUAUCAACUAGACUGACAUCGACUUAUAUAAUGCACCAAAGGCCUAGGAUAACAAGAGCCCUAGUCGGCUACGUCGGUGGAAAGGAGUCCUUGUCUUGAUCACCAAGUGUUGUGGAACCUUCCUCGUACAUGUCACGUGUUACCCGAAGUAGCCCAUUAGUGAACCAGCACGGGGUUCCUCAGCUCAGCCGUCAUAGCCGGGAGACGGUGUGGUGACUACCCACUAGUCUAGGAUACCGUCCACUACAAGGGAAAACCCUACAAGUAGCGCUAGGUUUUGAGCUACCAGUAGUGCUCGUAGGCGCGCUACUGUUACGACGCUGCAACUAUUUUUCAGCAGUAGCGUGUUUUUAAACAAGCGCUACAGGUAAAAUCACAUAUCAAUGUGAGUAGCGCGCCUUGGACAAGCGCUACUGCUAAUUAUCUACAACGCGUGUGCAAGAACAGCUCUACUGUUAAACGCGCGCUGCUGGUAAUCCUUGGCCCUCGCCACUACUAAUGUUUAUGUUUUUUGUUUCUUCGUUUUUUUUGCUCUAUUUAAACAGAUACAACUUCUAUACAAUAACAACAUGCAUCUUCAUUUAAACGGAUAUGAGACAAAAAUGUCUAAUUGUCGGCAUCGAUGGACAAAAGUAAAUCUCUCAUCUCAUAUCAUCAUCAUCACUCAUGGUCGAACACAUGUCUUGAAAUAGCGAUACACGUUAUUAGAAGUCUCGAAUGCAUGCAACUACAUGAUCACACUCAUGUUUCACCAUCUAUGUAAACUAUGAUAUGAUCGCAUAGAAGAGAACGGCGAUCACGAGCAAAAGCGGGAUUAUGUAAUAGUUCUUGAGGCGUCGAUUCUGAUUCCUUCAUGCACCCCUCUGAUCACUAGUCCUCCGAUGUCGAGUUAAUUUGGGCGGUGUGCCCUCUUUGCCUGUAGACCAAAUCUAGAACCUAAUAAACAGUUGAAGUGUGCAAUGUGGAAUUGAAGAAGAGGAAAAAGAAACACACCCAGGAAUUCUCUGAUUCCAAGUUUCCAACUGACAGUGUAGACCAAAAUUCAGUGGAACACUGCGAGUGGAGAAAAAUAAUCCAAUACAGGCUGUACAGCACAAGUACAGUUUCAUGCACACACCAAAAUUCAUCUAAAAAAGCACUAAUAAAGCCUAUUCCUACUAUAUAUUUUCCCUGUUCAAAACUGAGAGGCAUGCAAUUGGAGCACUUCUAAUCAAGAAACAAACAAAUUCCAAAACUCUAUAUACAUUAUAGUACAUUAUUACUAGUAUCUUUAGUUGAAAACAUACAAACAAAUUAAUUCUAUGUACAUCACAGUACAUUAUGCAUAAGCUAAGCCUAGUUAAGAUGAGUAGAUGACCAAGACUGUAUGCGUGCCGGUUAGAUUUUCCAUUGGUUCACAUUAUACUUCAAGCAUAUAUGAGGAUAACCCAAAACUCUAGCUACAUUUGACUGAACAUGCAAGUAAUCAUUUGCAGAUUUAAUUCAACAGCAACGAUCAGAAGUUCUCAAAAUAGCUAGUAUAGUACACCUAGAAUUCAUCAACAGUCAGUCCAAUUUGGGCAGUUGAUCCAUCCAUCAAUGGAAGCAGACAACAGAACAACAACAUAUAGGGCAUGUAAUUGCUAUGUGCUGAAAAUCACAGUAGACAAGAUGAGACGAAAUCGACAGAGAUAUCACCACAACUAAUUAACAGAACACAUAACACAUCAAGCAAGAAAUUAGCUAGAGGCAGCACACAUUCCAAUCACAUCGGUUGGAAACGAAACAGAGAAUGCAAAAUUAACUUCCCAAAACAUAUCCAAGUAGUGCUACUAUACUCCAUUACGUCUGCAGUGUUCAUGGUCGUACUGAACUGAACAUUGACCAAGCCAGUUUACACAUAUGCAUGCGUCUAACAUCUCUGAAGAAACUCAUCGGAAAGACAAAACAGCAUACGGUCAUCGAACUAAUCUUGGGUAGCUAGUCUCGAUCGGACUCAAUCUGCAGGGGACGAACAAGACGACAGAAGAAGAGCCGAUACACUUACUGCUGUACCUAACAAGUCGCGUUGCUUGCGGAUGCGGAUCGACUCUCUUCAUCUCUGAAGAGUCGAUCAGCGUCCUCCUGUCGACGGAACACAUCGUGGGUGGAGUCGAUCAUGCAGGCGGGGGAUCCUGCCGCCGGUGAGCUACCAAGGACGCAUGUAAUGGCUAUGUUCUUCUCCACCUGCACCAAGGUGUCUCGCAUCUCGUGCAGCGCCACCAGCGCGUCGUCGAUCACGCCGAUGGUCUGCGGCAGCAUCAGCUCCGCCAACGGCACGUACAGCCCGCCCCCGGGUCGCACCCGCGAUGCGGGCAUGAUCCCGCAGAGAUGGACGGUGAAGCCAGCCCCAAGGCUCCUGUUGACGGCUUUGUUCAGCCACUGAAGCGCCAUCCUUGCCUGGGCAUCGGCCUGGAUGUGGUUGGCGACCCAGAGGUCGAACGCGCCUUGGACGGCGGGGAAGAUAUCGACACCGAGAGCCGAAGCGAAGAGGUGGAAGUGGAUCCCGGCGCUGGCGUGGACGUCAUCGACGAGGUACCCGAGCAUGCGACGGGCCCCCUGGAGUGGCCCGCCCUCCGGCCACCCGUCGUCGAAGGUGUCGUGGACGAGGGCCCCGGCGACGUCCAUGGCGCCCGCGAGCGGCCCGGGCCAGUUGAAGAGGCGGUCGACGAUGUUGGCGGCGGGCCCGAUGAGGCGCGAAUCCGUGCCGCGGGACACGGCGUCGAGCAAGGCGGUGUAGAUGGUCUCCGCUGCGUCGAUGGGCUCGUCGACCAGCACCGCCGAGACCUCGCGGAGCGUCACGCGGGNAAAUUCGGCUUCCUUGCGCUCGAAGUUGCUGAAUUUACAGCCGACCUCUCUCACUGACAGGGAGCGCCCACCUUCUCACGGUGUCUUUUUACCUCACACCGCGCUGCUGCCGGGGUGAAAAAUCAGUUACGGAGUGGGGGCCACAGCUCUCGUGGGGAAUCUCUUGCGGCGCGAGAAGGCGAGAUAUUACACGGGUGUGAUUCGUCCUCACUGACCCGUGG